GGUGUCGGCAAUAAAGGAAGCUCUCCAGAGGCUACACCCUGGGAAAGGCUGAAGACAUUCCGGAAACCCCAAAACCCCCAAAGUGGGUUCUUCGAACACUGGGCCACCCCAUCCUUUGGAUUCCGCGCCUGUCCCACUGGGCUCUCUGUCACCGCACUCUCUGAAGGCAUGUGGCCUUUUUGUGUGUCUGGAAAAUCCCAGAUCACUCUACUUCCGACCUUCCCCGGGGGAUGAACAGACUCCUUCUCCAAUUAUAGAGGCAUCGGGAACUGCCGGGGCCAUGUAAAAACAGCAAGCAGUAGCGCCGCUUGUGUGCCAGGGCUGGAAGAAGAGAUGCUUUUAAAAGAAGGCUAUGAGCUUCAGGGGUUGGUCAUCUGCAGCCAGAGGGGGCGCUGUUGUUCCAUGGAGAACGGAGGCUCUGCCCUUCUUCCCGACCACGCCCAAGACUCCAGAGCCUCCGGGGCUACCUAGGGGCUGACAAAGGCAGGCAAGGCCUUUGUGGGUUUUCAUUCUUUUUCACAGGGUCUGCUCACUUUUUCGGGUGUAUAAGAAGCCUGACCCGCCCCGCCUCCACCCCAUUACAGAGGAGCUGGAAAUAGGGAAGAACCCCUCGGGCAUCCAGCCUGUGCCCUUCUGUCCCCCUUCAGGCUUGACAUUCCUGCCUAGCAGCCUUGUGCCUGUGGGUCUCUCCGCUGCUGCCUACAUGACUCCCUGACCCUGGGUUCCUGGCAAAACCUCUGGAGCUUGGUUUGGAACUUCAGGUCCAGGGGUCACUUGGCCCCAAGUCUCCCAAGGACUGUUCACUAGUCUGCAAGGGAAGAGAGAACUUCGGGUCAUGGAGAGAUGUGGGCUCCCUGCUACUCUGCCCCUUUUGGACACGCCCACAGGAGAAGUUAGGCAUCUAUACUCACACAGGAAAGAUUCUCGGGGUCCUUGGGACGCCACACUUUUCCAGCCCUAAUCUUCCCGUGGCUACACCGUAGGGCAGCUUUCUCUCAGCACUAAGUCCAGGCUGGCUCAGGAGCACUCUCUGUCCAGGAGGGAUUUGUACGAAAGUGACCCGCAGCUUGGCCAAGAUUUGAACCGGGAGUGAAGAGCAAGGAGCUUGGCCAGAGAUAACCUGAGUAGCCUUAACUGGGACCCUGAAGUGAUUCUGGGGUGAGAGGAGAGAGACAGAGAAACACAAAGAGGCAAAGAAAGAGAUGGGGUGAGGCUGGGGGAGAUUGAAGGAACAGCGGGUGCUGUGAGGUGAGAGGGCUGUGUGUGGCACAUGCCAGAGAUGGGGAUUGAUUCUCUGGUAAGUGCGUGUGUUCUCCCUAUCACGGCUCUUUGUCUACACAGAAACGCAGGUGGUGGAAGGGCUGCUGGGUAGGGAUGUAUCCCUGGGCUGAGACCUCCAGAGCACUAGACCCUGCUCCUUCUGUAUAAAGCUCAUGAACUGGCACCGGACCAGCUAGAAAAGGACGAAUACAGCCAGCUGUGUGAAGGGUCUGCCCAAGUUCCUUGGUUAGAACGCCCGUAAGCCACAGCUGACUGCUCUACCUGGGCUACACCCCCCUCCCCCAUCCUGAGGCUGCAUCUGCAGUAUCAUCUACCCAUCCUGGGGAAUAUAGGUUAAGUAAAUCAGGGUCACAGGUCCAGAGUCAGCCAAUGCUAUGUAGCCUGCUGGGGUUAGCAGACUGGAGUGCUGGUGCUGUGUAUUUUCCUGACCACCCUUUAUUCAUCACCUCAAGAUCCGCCAGGCCUGCUGACAGGGCAUGGCUCUGAACCCAACCGGGAGACCUCUAUGACUGUCGCUGUGUGAUACCAUGCAUCUGCUACAUGACAGGCCCCUGCUCUUUGGCUCAGAAGAGCACAUCCUAGAAAGCCCAGCAUGGGAAUCAUGGCUGCCAGUGUGUCUAUUCCUGUGUCCGUCAGGGUAUCCAUCAAUACCCAGGGACACACCAGGCCCUGCCCUGAAGGGCUUAAGCUGUCUUUAUUGUGCAACCACCCUAUAAAGGAAAUAGCUCAGCUUGUGGAGGCUCCAAAGGCCAAGAAAAAAAGCCACAUGUACAGCAUGAAGCCACAGCCCAAAGCCAAUGGCCUGAUGCUCAGGUUGGGGCGGUGGGUGGGCAUGAGAUUACUGCCAGGAAGAACAUGUGUCCACCAUGGUGACAUAUACUGUAGGGCUGGCAUGAGGAGGACAAAGGACACAGUCUCACUGAGUCCUAGGAGUCACUGUCACUUUUCUUUACAGACUUUUAUUAUUAAUGAUGCUGAAAUUUGUAACCAAGUUUUUGUAUUAUAAUGACUAUACCACUCUUCUGGAAUUUGCUCUGGGUAAGGAUGGUUCUGGCUUUAUCUGGAGCCCAGAUGUUAUCAACACACACACAGAGACACACAGAG
rnacentral:lncRNA from 1 species